GAUGAACGCUAGCGGUGUGCCUAAUGCAUGCAAGUCGAACGGGAUCCUUAGAUUCGUCUGAGGUGAGAGUGGCGAACGGGUGAGUAACACGUUGGUGACCUACCCCAAAGAGAGGGAUAACUAUUGGAAACGAUGGCUAAUACCUCGGAUGUAUUACUGUUUAGAAAGGUAAUACUAAAGCUCCGGCGCUUUGGGAGGGGCCUGCGGUCCAUCAGCUAGUUGGUAAGGUAAUGGCUUACCAAGGCAAAGACGGAUAGGGGGCGUGAGAGCGUGACCCCCCACACUGGUACUGAGACACGGACCAGAUACCUGCGGGUAGCAGCAGCAAGGAAUAUUGCGCAAUCGACGAAAGUCGGACGCAGCAACACCGCGUGAAGGAUGAAGGCCUUCGGGUCGUAAACUUCUUUUCUGGGGGAAGAGAAAGGACG
rnacentral:rRNA from 1 species